AGAGUUUGAUCAUGGCUCAGAUUGAACGCUGGCGGCAGGCCUAACACAUGCAAGUCGAGCGGUAGCACAGAGAGCUUGCUCUCGGGUGACGAGCGGCGGACGGGUGAGUAAUGUCUGGGAAACUGCCUGAUGGAGGGGGAUAACUACUGGAAACGGUAGCUAAUACCGCAUAACGUCGCAAGACCAAAGUGGGGGACCUUCGGGCCUCAUGCCAUCAGAUGUGCCCAGAUGGGAUUAGCUAGUAGGUGGGGUAACGGCUCACCUAGGCGACGAUCCCUAGCUGGUCUGAGAGGAUGACCAGCCACACUGGAACUGAGACACGGUCCAGACUCCUACGGGAGGCAGCAGUGGGGAAUAUUGCACAAUGGGCGCAAGCCUGAUGCAGCCAUGCCGCGUGUGUGAAGAAGGCCUUCGGGUUGUAAAGCACUUUCAGCGGGGAGGAAGGCGUUAAGGUUAAUAACCUUGGCGAUUGACGUUACCCGCAGAAGAAGCACCGGCUAACUCCGUGCCAGCAGCCGCGGUAAUACGGAGGGUGCAAGCGUUAAUCGGAAUUACUGGGCGUAAAGCGCACGCAGGCGGUCUGUCAAGUCGGAUGUGAAAUCCCCGGGCUCAACCUGGGAACUGCAUUCGAAACUGGCAGGCUAGAGUCUUGUAGAGGGGGGUAGAAUUCCAGGUGUAGCGGUGAAAUGCGUAGAGAUCUGGAGGAAUACCGGUGGCGAAGGCGGCCCCCUGGACAAAGACUGACGCUCAGGUGCGAAAGCGUGGGGAGCAAACAGGAUUAGAUACCCUGGUAGUCCACGCCGUAAACGAUGUCGAUUUGGAGGUUGUGCCCUUGAGGCGUGGCUUCCGGAGCUAACGCGUUAAAUCGACCGCCUGGGGAGUACGGCCGCAAGGUUAAAACUCAAAUGAAUUGACGGGGGCCCGCACAAGCGGUGGAGCAUGUGGUUUAAUUCGAUGCAACGCGAAGAACCUUACCUGGUCUUGACAUCCACAGAACUUUCCAGAGAUGGAUUGGUGCCUUCGGGAACUGUGAGACAGGUGCUGCAUGGCUGUCGUCAGCUCGUGUUGUGAAAUGUUGGGUUAAGUCCCGCAACGAGCGCAACCCUUAUCCUUUGUUGCCAGCGGUNGGCCGGGAACUCAAAGGAGACUGCCAGUGAUAAACUGGAGGAAGGUGGGGAUGACGUCAAGUCAUCAUGGCCCUUACGACCAGGGCUACACACGUGCUACAAUGGCAUAUACAAAGAGAAGCGACCUCGCGAGAGCAAGCGGACCUCAUAAAGUAUGUCGUAGUCCGGAUUGGAGUCUGCAACUCGACUCCAUGAAGUCGGAAUCGCUAGUAAUCGUAGAUCAGAAUGCUACGGUGAAUACGUUCCCGGGCCUUGUACACACCGCCCGUCACACCAUGGGAGUGGGUUGCAAAAGAAGUAGGUAGCUUAACCUUCGGGAGGGCGCUUACCACUUUGUGAUUCAUGACUGGGGUGAAGUCGUAACAAGGUAACCGUAGGGGAACCUGCGGUUGGAUCACCU
rnacentral:rRNA from 1 species